rnacentral:rRNA from 1 species
AAUAGAUACCCAGGUAGUCCAUGCCGUAAACGUUGGGCACUAGGUGUGGGGCUCAUUCCACGAGUUCCGUGCCGCAGCAAACGCAUUAAGUGCCCCGCCUGGGGAGUACGGCCGCAAGGCUAAAACUCAAAGGAAUUGACGGGGGCCCGCAUAAGCGGCGGAGCAUGCGGAUUAAUUCGAUGCAACGCGAAGAACCUUACCAAGGCUUGACAUGCACGGGAAGCCACCAGAGAUGGUGGUUUCUUUGGACACUCGUGCACAGGUGGUGCGUGGUUGUCGUCAGCUCGUGUCGUGAGAUGUUGGGUUAAGUCCCGCAACGAGCGCAACCCUGUCCCAUGUUGCCAGCGGGUUAUGCCGGGGACUCAUGGGAGACUGCCGGGGUCAACUCGGAGGAAGGUGGGGAUGACGUCAAAUCAUCAUGCCCCUUAUGUCUUGGGCUUCACGCAUGCUACAAUGGCCGGUACAAAGGGCUGCGAUGCCGUAAGGUGGAGCGAAUCCCAAAAAGCCGGUCUCAGUUCGGAUUGGGGUCUGC